AGCGGCGGACGGGUGAGUAAUGCCUAGGAAUCUGCCUGGUAGUGGGGGAUAACGUUCGGAAACGGACGCUAAUACCGCAUACGUCCUACGGGAGAAAGCAGGGGACCUUCGGGCCUUGCGCUAUCAGAUGAGCCUAGGUCGGAUUAGCUAGUUGGUGAGGUAAUGGCUCACCAAGGCGACGAUCCGUAACUGGUCUGAGAGGAUGAUCAGUCACACUGGAACUGAGACACGGUCCAGACUCCUACGGGAGGCAGCAGUGGGGAAUAUUGGACAAUGGGCGAAAGCCUGAUCCAGCCAUGCCGCGUGUGUGAAGAAGGUCUUCGGAUUGUAAAGCACUUUAAGUUGGGAGGAAGGGCAUUAACCUAAUACGUUAGUGUUUUGACGUUACCGACAGAAUAAGCACCGGCUAACUCUGUGCCAGCAGCCGCGGUAAUACAGAGGGUGCAAGCGUUAAUCGGAAUUACUGGGCGUAAAGCGCGCGUAGGUGGUUUGUUAAGUUGGAUGUGAAAUCCCCGGGCUCAACCUGGGAACUGCAUUCAAAACUGACUGACUAGAGUAUGGUAGAGGGUGGUGGAAUUUCCUGUGUAGCGGUGAAAUGCGUAGAUAUAGGAAGGAACACCAGUGGCGAAGGCGACCACCUGGACUAAUACUGACACUGAGGUGCGAAAGCGUGGGGAGCAAACAGGAUUAGAUACCCUGGUAGUCCACGCCGUAAACGAUGUCAACUAGCCGUUGGAAGCCUUGAGCUUUUAGUGGCGCAGCUAACGCAUUAAGUUUGACCGCCCUGGGGGGAGUACGG
rnacentral:rRNA from 1 species